UACGUAGGGGGCGAGCGUUGUCCGGAUUUAUUGGGCGUAAAGAGCGUGUAGGCGGCCAGGUAGGUCUGCUGUGAAAACUCGAGGCUCAACCUCGAGACGUCGGCGGAAACCAUCUGGCUAGAGUCCGGAAGAGGAGAGUGGAAUUCCUGGUGUAGCGGUGAAAUGCGCAGAUAUCAGGAGGAACACCAAUUGCGAAGGCAGCUCGCUGGGACGUGACUGACGCUGAGACGCGAAAGCGUGGGGAGCAAACAGG
rnacentral:rRNA from 1 species